rnacentral:lncRNA from 1 species
GACGCCACCACAGGAUGACUUGAUGAGCAGUGUGUAGGUCCAUGACUGGGAUCGAACCUGUGAACCUCAGGCUGCCAAAGUGGAGUGUGCGAACUUGACUACUACACCAUUGGGCCGGCCACUGAAAGGAUUCGUUUCCAAUUCAAAUCCUACGGUGUUUAUCUACAUCACAAUUUAAGAUUGCUUUCUCUCAGAAUCUCAGCGAAGGAGGAAACAAUGAGCUAGAGCUUGUUCACGGGUUCGCUCACACUCCCAAAUAAGGAACAUCCCUGGGCAGCAUCGGCUCCCACCCACAAUUCCUAUCAGCCCACAGCAUUCAGAAUCUCCUGUGUCAAGAGGAACGGGGAAUCAAAGGCGGCCUUUUCCUCACAGCAUGCUCCCAAUUUUCCCUACAUCUGAAAAAGAGGACCUGGCCAUUGUCUCCCCCAAUAAAUAACACACAAAAGACUUUGGCCGAGAUCAGAGUUUUCCACUGAGAGAAACUUGCCACUGAGAGAAAUACUGAGAGAAGACUUGGAAAGUGGGAGUAAAGCAGAAGUCAUUGUUCUCAGAAGACUGGGACAGUCAGACAGUGUGGCUUCACAGAUCACUCUAUGGGCUCCCACUUCCUGGUCACCUUUUGCUGCUAGACCUGGUGACUUCUCAGAAUUCCAGUGAGUUCUAGCUUCCUACCUCCUCUAAUACUUCAAGCUUAACUUAUUAGAGACAUUUGUCUGAUCCUCUGGCAUAAACCUUCUGGACUUUCACUCUCCUAGCUCCUCCCACUUUGUGUAUGUGUGUGUGUGUGUGUGUGAAUCCCCUUAUUAUUGCAAUAUUUUAGUAGCUCUAUUUUCAUCACUGCACCCAGACAGAUACAGUUUCCACCCUGAACCUCACCACCACCCCUGUGUUAUUACAAAACAACUCCCUAGGAAGUAGUAUAACUAAGGUCCAGUCAUACAAAGACCUUUUUUCUUUUUCUUUAGAAACUACAGAACAUUCU